UCGAGCGAGUCUGCCUUGAGAUCGGAGUGCUUGCACUCUGUGAAACAAGAUACAGGCUAGCGGCGGACGGGUGAGUAACACGUGGGUAACCUGCCCAAGAGAUCGGGAUAACACCUGGAAACAGAUGCUAAUACCGGAUAACAACAGAUGAUGCCUAUCAACUGUUUAAAAGAUGGUUCUGCUAUCACUCUUGGAUGGACCUGCGGUGCAUUAGCUAGUUGGUAGGGUAACGGCCUACCAAGGCGAUGAUGCAUAGCCGAGUUGAGAGACUGAUCGGCCACAUUGGGACUGAGACACGGCCCAAACUCCUACGGGAGGCAGCAGUAGGGAAUCUUCCACAAUGGACGCAAGUCUGAUGGAGCAACGCCGCGUGAGUGAAGAAGGGUUUCGGCUCGUAAAGCUCUGUUGUUGGUGAAGAAGGACAGGGGUAGUAACUGACCUUUGUUUGACGGUAAUCAAUUAGAAAGUCACGGCUAACUACGUGCCAGCAGCCGCGGUAAUACGUAGGUGGCAAGCGUUGUCCGGAUUUAUUGGGCGUAAAGCGAGUGCAGGCGGCUCGAUAAGUCUGAUGUGAAAGCCUUCGGCUCAACCGGAGAAUUGCAUCAGAAACUGUCGAGCUUGAGUACAGAAGAGGAGAGUGGAACUCCAUGUGUAGCGGUGAAAUGCGUAGAUAUAUGGAAGAACACCGGUGGCGAAGGCGGCUCUCUGGUCUGUU
rnacentral:rRNA from 1 species